GCCGAUGCCUAAUACAUGCAAGUCGAGCGAAUGAUUAAGAGCUUGCUCUUAUGAAGUUAGCGGCGUGACGGGUGAGUAACACGUGGGUAACCUGCCCAUAAGACUGGGAUAACUCCGGGAAACCGGGGCUAAUACCGGAUAACAUUUUGCACUGCAUGGUGCGAAAUUGAAAGGCGGCUUCGGCUGUCACUUAUGGAUGGACCGCGCGUCGCAUUAGCUAGUUGGUGAGGUAACGGCUCACCAAGGUAACGAUGCGUAGCCGACCUGAGAGUGGUGAUCGGCCACACUGGUGACUGAGACACUGGCCCAGACUCCUACGGGAGGCAGCAGUAGGGAAUCUUCCGCAAUGGACGAAAGUCUGACGGAGCAACGCCGCGUGAGUGAUGAAGGCUUUCGGGUCGUAAAACUCUGUUGUUAGGGAAGAACAAGUGCUAGUUGAAUAAGCUGGCACCUUGACNNGUACCUAACCAGAAAGCCACGGCUUAACUACGUGCCACAGCCGCGGUAAUACGUAGUNGCAAAGCGGUUAAUCCGGGAAUUAACUGGGGCGUAAAGCGCGCGUAAGGUGGGUGUGUUACGUU
rnacentral:rRNA from 1 species